AUACGGGGGGUGCAAGCGUUGCUCGGAAUCACUGGGCGUAAAGCGUCCGCAGGCGGACCGAACAGUCGGUGGUGAAAGCCCAGGGCUCAACCCUGGAACUGCCAUCGAUACUGCCGGUCUUGAGUUCGGGAGAGGGAAGUGGAAUUCCUGGUGUAGAGGUGAAAUUCGUAGAUAUCAGGAGGAACACCGGUGGCGAAAGCGGCUUCCUGGCCCGAAACUGACGCUCAUGGACGAAAGCGUGGGGAGCAAACAGGAUUAGAUACCCUGGUAGUCCACGCCGUAAACGAUGGAUGCUAGCUGAUGGAGCUUCUACCGCUUCAUUGGCGUCGCUAACGCAUUAAGCAUCCCGCCUGGGAAGUACGGCCGCAAGGCUAAA
rnacentral:rRNA from 1 species